GACGAACGCUGGCGGCGUGCUUAACACAUGCAAGUCGAACGGAAAGGCCCUGCUUUUGUGGGGUGCUCGAGUGGCGAACGGGUGAGUAACACGUGAGUAACCUGCCCUUGACUUUGUGAUAACUUCAGGAAACUGGGGCUAAUACCUGAUAGGAUCUCCUGCUGCAUGGGGGUGGUUGGAAAGUUUCGGCGGUUGGGGAUGGACUCGCGGCUUAUUAGCUUGUUGGUGGGGUAGUGGCUUACCAAGGCUUUGACGGGUAGCCGGCCUGGGAGGGUGAACGGACACAGUGGGACUGAGAUACGCACCAGACUCCUACGGGAGGCAGCAGUGGGGAAUAUUGCACAAUGGGCGGAAGCCUGAUGCAGCAACGCCGCGUGCGGGAUGACGGCCUUCGGGUUGUAAACCGCUUUCGCCUGUGACGAAGCGUGAGUGACGGUAAUGGGUAAAGAAGCACCGGCUAACUACGUG
rnacentral:rRNA from 1 species